rnacentral:rRNA from 1 species
GACGUAGGGCGCGAGCGUUGUCCGGAUUUAUUGGGCGUAAAGAGCUCGUAGGCGGCUUGUCGCGUCGUCCGGUGAAAACCUGCAGCUCAACUGCAGGCUUGCGGUCGAUACGGGCAGGCUCGAGUUCGGUAGGGGAGACUGGAAUUCCUGGUGUAGCGGUGAAAUGCGCAGAUAUCAGGAGGAACACCGGUGGCGAAGGCGG